rnacentral:tRNA from 1 species
AAAGGGAGACCUAAUUCCAGUAGGAGACGAAAAAAAAGUAGUCCCUACCAAGAAUCAAUCCCAAAAGGUCGGAGCGAGGCAAAAUUGGCUUUCAAACUAGGUUCUGGGUUCACACAAGACCUGAAUCAGGAACAAGGGCUAUUAGCUCAGGUGGUUAGAGCGCACCCCUGAUAAGGGUGAGGUCCCUGGUUCGAGUCCAGGAUGGCCCACCUGCACAGGUGGCAAAAACAAGAGAAGCGAGGAAUCAGCACCUUAUCCUAAUUUAUAUAUAGGAGAGAAUGCUGGCUCUGAGUAAAGAGUCCAGAGGAACCUUGAAAACUGCAUAGAGCUAGGUGAAAAAGCCAAAAAAGAAGACCGCAAG